GACGAACGCUGGCGGCGUGCUUAACACAUGCAAGUCGAACGGAAAGGCCCCUUUGGGGGUCCUCGAGUGGCGAACGGGUGAGUAACACGUGAGUAACCUGCCCUUGACUUCGGGAUAACUUCAGGAAACUGGGGCUAAUACCGGAUAGGAAUCCUUGCUGCAUGGUGGGGGUUGGAAAGCUUCGGCGGUUUUGGAUGGACUCGCGGCUUAUCAGCUUGUUGGUGGGGUAGUGGCUUACCAAGGCUUUGACGGGUAGCCGGCCUGAGAGGGCGACCGGCCACAUUGGGACUGAGAGGCGGCCCAGACUCCUACGGGAGGCAGAAGGGGGGAAGAUUGCACAAGGGGCGGAAGCCUGAUGCAGCAACGCCGCGGGCGGGAUGACGGCCUUCGGGUUGUAAAACGCUUUCAGCAGGGGAGAAGCUUGUGGUGACGGUACCUGCAGAAGAAGCACCGGCUAACUACGUG
rnacentral:rRNA from 1 species